CUCAAGCACUAGAUCGCCCCCAUUCUACAGAUGCGGCCACGGAGGCAAGUGCCACCCGCGCAGGACACGCAGCUAGCCGAGCCGGUGAGAGACAUUGCGAACCUCCAAACCCGGGUCAGAAGAACCCCAGUGUGUGCUCUGCAGGGGUCGUGGGCUGAAAUGAUUGAGUUCUGGACCCUCUUGGAGUCACCAAAUUUUGUGAGUGACCCCAACUGCCCAGAAGCGUUUUUGAGUCAAA